rnacentral:rRNA from 1 species
UACAGGGGGGGCAAGCGUUGUUCGGAAUUACUGGGCGUAAAGGGCUCGUAGGCGGCCAACUAAGUCACACGUGAAAUCCCCAGGCUUAACCUGGGAACUGCGUGUGAUACUGGAUGGCUUGAAUCCGGGAGAGGGAUGCGGAAUUCCAGGUGUAGCGGUGAAAUGCGUAGAGAUCGGGAGGAAGGCCGGUGGCGAAGGCGGCGCUCUGGAACAUUUCUGACGCUGAGGCUCGAAAGCGUGGGGAGCAAACAGG